ACAAUUUUCACCCAGAAAGCCUUGAAGCUCUGCCGCCUCGUACGCUUCUCGAUACACAGUUUCAUGCUUGGCAAAUCCUUGAUGGAGAGAAGAAAUUCACUUACGUCAGCAUAAAUGUGAGCAACUCCGUCAACAUCGUAUGAUGAUCAUCAUCGAAUGGAUGUUGAGCCAAUUCGCAAACGCUGCGAAGCAGACACGUUUCGUGUAUAUCGAAACUAUGAACCAUAUGCAGUUUCCGGCAGUGAUCUGUAGGUGCCAGAUCGGGGAAAUGCACGAAAUGAUUCAGUAUAUCCCAUUCAAACGAUGCGAGCAGUUACGUCGCGAGCUUGACCGUGUGUGGUCUGGCAUUGUCGUACAGCAGGGAGACUCCUUUUGUCAAAGCAACGUACUGUCCUCGAACCGAUGUCGUUGCGAGGGCAGAAGUCUGGCUACACUACCGUGCCGAGCCUCAGUAAACUUACUUUCAAGAUAUGUCUCUUUAGUAUUAUUAAACGUAAUCACUAAUUAUAUUCGGAGCCAUCACAGUUGUGAUAUAAACAU